rnacentral:rRNA from 5 species
UACUUAGUGGCAGACGGGUGAGUAACAUGUGGGUAUCUACCCUUUGGCCUGGAAUAACACGAGGAAACUUGUGCUAAUACCGGAUAAGUCUUUACGGAGAAAGCUUUAUGCACCAUUGGAUGAGCCCGCACUUGAUUAGUUUGUUGGUAGGGUAAUGGCCUACCAAGACUAUGAUCAAUAGCUGAUUUGAGAGGAUGAUCAGCCACAUUGGGACUGAGACACGGCCCAAACUCCUACGGGAGGCAGCAGUGGGGAAUCUUGCACAAUGGAGGAAACUCUGAUGCAGCGAUGCCGCGUGAGUGAAGAAGGCCUUUGGGUUGUAAAGCUCUUUCGUCGGGGAAGAAAAUGACUGUACCCGAAUAAGAAGGUCCGGCUAACUUCGUGCCAGCAGCCGCGGUAAUACGAAGGGACCUAGCGUAGUUCGGAAUUACUGGGCUUAAAGAGUUCGUAGGUGGUUGAAAAAGUUGGUGGUGAAAUCCCAGAGCUUAACUCUGGAACUGCCAUCAAAACUUUUCAGCUAGAGUAUGAUAGAGGAAAGCAGAAUUUCUAGUGUAGAGGUGAAAUUCGUAGAUAUUAGAAAGAAUACCAAUUGCGAAGGCAGCUUUCUGGAUCAUUACUGACACUGAGGAACGAAAGCAUGGGUAGCGAAGAGGAUUAGAUACCCUCGUAGUCCAUGCCGUAAACGAUGUGUGUUAGACGUUGGAAAUUUAUUUUCAGUGUCGCAGGGAAACCGAUAAACACACCGCC